UUUCAAGAAGAAUGGAUACCCUUUAAAGACCAUCUUUAUUUGGUUGGCAGCAAUAAAUCUGAUUUGAAUUCUGCCAAGUCGCACUGUAUAUCUCAUGGAGGAUAUUUGGCUGAGAUUGAAUCAGAGGAAGAGAACAACUGGAUAACAGAAACUUUUCUGGUCCCUCUGUAUGAAAAUAAAAAUGUUGACUGGACAGUAUCGGUGCUUUGGAUUGGUGGACGCUGCACAAGAAAGGACAGGAAAUCAUGUCUGUGGGAGGAGAGCAAUCAAGCAUUCUCUUAUCAUAACUGGCACGAAGGAAACCCAGAUGGUGAUGGCCCAUGUGUAUUUCUUGCCAAAUCUGGCAAAUGGAAUGACUUUUCUUGUGAUAAUCAUCGUUUUUACAUAUGUGAAAAGAAUACAGUGUACUCCUGAUGAAUCGAAAUCCCGUUGGCAUCGGUUUAGAUUUCGUUAUAACCGAUAUUCGUUA